GUCUCCAUAGUUCAAUGGAUAGAACAAUCCCCUCCUAAGGGAUAAAUGUAGGUUCGAUUCCUACUGGGGAUACCA
rnacentral:tRNA from 17 species